rnacentral:rRNA from 1 species
UACAGGGGUCUCAAGCGUUGUUCGGAUUCAUUGGGCGUAAAGGGUGCGUAGGCGGCGCCGUAAGUCAGGUGUGAAAUUUCGGAGCUUAACUCCGAAACUGCAUUUGAUACUGCGGUGCUUGAGGACUGGAGAGGAGACUGGAAUUUACGGUGUAGCAGUGAAAUGCGUAGAGAUCGUAAGGAAGACCAGUGGCGAAGGCGGGUCUCUGGACAGUUCCUGACGCUGAUGCACGAAGGCCAGGGGAGCAAACGGG